ACAUGACGUUCAAUCAUUUUUUUUCCUUGUUUUGCAGACUUCGUGGCUCACAUUCUCACUUACUUUCCACAUUUAUUCUGGCUACUCAGUGUACUCUUUAAUUAUAACCUGUAGGUAUUAUUGAGCUUGAAGGAGAGAAAGAGAAGAUGUCUCUAGAGAGCAGUAGCAGGGAUAAGAGAUGGGGUCUCCAAGGAAUGACAGCCCUUGUCACCGGUGGAACCAAAGGGCUCGGUUAUGCUAUCGUGGAAGAGUUAGCAGCGCUAGGGGCAAUUGUUCAUACAUGUGCGAGGAACCAAGACCAGAUCAAUGAACGCGUUAGGGAAUGGAAGGAGAAGGGUUUCAAAGUUACUGGUUCAGUCUGUGAUGUAUCCUCUAAUGCUGAAAGAGAGAAGCUGAUGAAGGAGGUUUCCUCUCUGUUUGAUGGGAAGCUUAAUAUCCUUGUAAACAAUGCUGGGACAAACAUAUAUAAAGCGACCUUAGAUUACACAGCUGAGGAUUUCACAUCUCUCAUGAACACAAACCUUCAAUCUGCUUUCCAUUUGUCCCAACUUGCACAUCCCCUUUUGAAAGCUUCAGGGGCUGGAAAGAUUGUCUUCAUGUCUUCCAUUAUUAGUGUGGUAUCUAUGAACCCUCAGUAUCCUUUGUAUUCAGCUUCUAAAGGUGCAAUGAACCAACUUACAAGGAAUUUGGCGUGCGAAUGGGCUAAGGACAAUAUAAGGGUUAACGCAGUUGCACCCUGGUUCAUCCGAACUCCACUCACAGCACAUAGUCUGGAUGAUGAGAGCAUUGUGAAGGAGGUUUUCAAUCGAACCCCCAUGAGACGCGUUGGGGAACCAGGAGAGGUCUCUUCUGUUGUCGCAUUUCUAUGCUUGCCUGCACCAGGUUUCUUAACAGGACAAGUCAUAUGCAUUGAUGGAGGGAUGUCAGUGAAUGGCUUUUCCAUGGGUUGAAAAUUAGCUGCUCUGAGGCGUGAAUUCAUCUACUUGUUGGAUUGAAUAAGGCAGUCUUCUUGCCCUUUGAUGAUGUUUUUAACUAUCCUGCCAAAUAAGAGGAUUGUCUCAGGCUAUCAGCCUCUCAAUGACUUGGAGCUAAUUUAAUAUUAUUUAUUUGGGUGUUUUCAAUGAUCAAUAAACUAUCAUUUCAAUUAAUAAUUGUUUAUUUUCAAAGAA